rnacentral:rRNA from 1 species
GCUAGUCGUGCGUCUCCAAGCCAUGAUGGAGAAGCGGCAUACAGCUCAGUAACACGUGGCUAACCUACCCUUAGGAUGGAAACACCUCCGGGAAACUGGAGUUAAUUUCUAAUAGGUGAUGAAUACUGGAAUGUGACAUCACUCAAAGGGCAUUUAAAUCAUGCUUUUAGAUACUGCCUAAGGAUGGGGCCGCGACCGAUCAGGUUGUUGGUGAGGUAAAGGCUCACCAAGCCUUUAACCGGUACGGGCCGUGAGAGCGGGAGCCCGGAGAUGGGCACUGAGAUAAGGGCCCAGGCCCUACGGGGCGCAGCAGUCGCGAAACCUUCGCAAUACGCGCAAGCGUGACAGAGGUCAUCCCAAGUGCCGUCCGCUGAGGACGGCUUUUACCCAGUGUAAAUAGCUGGGAGAAUAAGGAGAGGGCAAGCCUGGUGUCAGCCGCCGCGGUAAUACCAGCUCUCCGAGUGGUGUGGUUACUUAUUGGGCCUAAAGCAUUCGUAGCCGGCUAGAUGAGUCUCUCGUUAAAUCCAGCGUUUCAAUCGUUGGGCUGCGAGAGAUACUGUUUAGCUAGGGGGCGGGAGCGGUCGACGGUAUUUCCGGGGUAGGGGUGAAAUCCUAUAAUCCCGGGAGGACCACCAGUGGCGAAGGCUGUUGACUAGAACGUGCCCGACGGUGAGGGAUGAAAGCUGGGGGAGCGAACCGGAUUAGAUACCCGGGUAGUCCCAGCCGUAAACUAUGCAGGCU